CCUGGGCGUUCUCUGCCCAUGUAGCGAGGUCAAGGUCCUGGGAGCCGAACUCUCCCUUGAUGUUCAAUCUUUUUAAAUCUUUCCCAGCCUUUAUUUCUCAUCUGCAAAAUGACGAUAAUCGCAUUUGAAAUUCUCCGUUUUCAAAAUGCAGGAAUUUAUUAAAGGAUACGUAGGCUGGGGAAACAAGGGAGACGAAAGAUCUAAAUCUAAAUGGUAGACCAGAAAAAGGAAGGCAAGGGUGUCUGGAAACACAAAACAGUCAACAUAGAUUUUAAGACUCAUCUAUACUCUCUUCUUCCCGGGUUUGGGAACUGCGGUUGCUACACAGGUCACAUUUGAAAUAAAAGUCCUGGGACGGCGGCCGG
rnacentral:lncRNA from 1 species